GGGGGAGCAAACUGAUGAUGAUGGGUUCCAAGAUCUGCAAUCAAGCUACAAACGGAACUAUGCCGCAGAGAAGAUGAAUGCAGCAAGGAUCAGAGAAGGGAAUUUAUUAAGGGCUGACAGAGUUGCUACUGCACAUAAGGCCAAACCAAGAGAGUUCCAAAUAGAAAAUAGAGUUGACAACAAGCGUGCCAAUGCAUCAAAGGGUAUGAACAAGGAUGCAACAUCUAAAUGCUCACAACAAAUAAACUAUCAGGUUAUUGGACUUCUACUGCAUAACUUCCCAAUUAUUUGCAUACGUUUUAUAAUAUUGUCAUCUGCUUGUUGUAAAAAUAAUACAACCUGAAAUUCAUAUUGUGUAUAUUAUUAAUUCACUCUUUGACCUUUGGAUAAGGCUGGCACUCCCGUAUACAUAAAGAGCUAGAGACAUAAAAGUAAGAAUGUUGCCUUAGGGACAAUACUGAGUGUUGAUCCAAAUCAGAAAGUUGGAGGCCUUGAGCUAGGCAAAGAAUUUUAUAUGCUGUGUGUUGGUCUUACCUCUGUGCCUGAUGAGCCACUAAUACGACCAUAUGACAACUUCCAAGUUAUCGGAGACGUAGGCAAAAAUCCUAUAGCAUGGCCUUCAAGUUGUGUUGCAAAGAGUGUCAGCCAAUCAUAUUGAUUUAGCCAGGUUGGAACCCAUAGAAUGCAAGGUCUACUGGAAUGGUGCUUUCACUGGUCAUUUGAAUUGGUUCAAGAGAAGAGUCGAUUGCAACUAGACUCCUAUAUGUAUAUGUUGCUUUCACAGAAAACAUGUUUUAGAACACACAUUAUGUGAUAGAUUAUGUUUUGGAUGAAACUCUGUAAUCGGAUAUUUUGUUUUAAAUAUAGAAUUUAGAGUUGUGCGCAUUUAGCAUUGUGUCUUAUGAUGAUGGAAAAAUUCAAGGGCAUUGUGUAUGCUAUAUAUUUGUAUGAACUCAAAUAAAUAAAUAAAUAAAUAA